UUCGAUCAGUCUUUCCCCUUCAUCUCCACUGUUGUUUUCUUCUCCGACUUCGAAACCUAGCCACCGCAACCCGUUGCUCGCCUCCAUUCUUCGCUGCGUCGACGCCGCUGUUUUGCGUCCAGUUCUUCGCCGAGUCAUUUCCCUUAUCUCCAUCUCCAGAUUUUCCCCCUCCUGGGCUCUUGAAAUUUGCGCUGGAGUCUUGGCAUAUCUUUUUUGCACAGCCAUCCGACUUGUCUGUCCUCAUUAGGCUACCAUGCAGGGGAAUUCAUGUUGUGAAUCACAAAUUUGUCUUUGGAGUUUUCUUUCCUUUGCUGUGAAUCAGGAUUUUGAUUGAGAUUUGUUUGGUGGGCAACAAAUUUUUGAUAUUGGGCUAUUGGAGUUGCACUUCUUCUGUGAGUAAGAUUUGGCAGCCGUUUGGUCUUAUGUGCCAUGGCAAUUGAGAAGAACAACUUUAAGGCAUCAAGGCUUGAUUCUGAGUUUUCACCCCACAGUAGGGAGACUAUGUCUAGUGAUGAGGAUGAUCUUCAGCGGCGUAACUCAGCCGUGGAAUCUGAUGAUGAUGAUGAGUUUGAUGAUGCAGAUUCUGGGGCAGGGUCAGAUGACUUUGAUUUGCUGGAAUUGGGUGAAACUAGAGCAGAGUUUUGCCAAAUUGGCAACCAGACUUGCAGCAUCCCGUUGGAAUUAUAUGAUCUUCCAGGACUUGAAGAAAUAUUGUCAGUGGAUGUUUGGAAUGAUUGCUUGAGUGAGGAAGAGCGAUUUGAACUUGCCAAGUAUCUUCCUGACAUGGACCAAGAGGCUUUUGUUCGAACCUUAACAGAUCUGUUUACUGGUUGUAACCUCCAUUUUGGGAGUCCCAUUAAGAAGUUGUUUGAAAUGCUUAAAGGGGGCUUGUGUGAACCAAGAGUUGCACUUUACAGGGAGGGUUUGAACUUUUUCCAGAAGCGGCAGCAUUAUCAUCUACUGAGGAAGCAUCAAAACAACAUGGUUGUCAAUCUCUGUCAGGUAAGGGAUGCUUGGCUUAAUUGCAGGGGAUACAGUAUUGAAGAAAGGCUUCGUGUUUUGAACAUUAUGAGAAGUCAAAGGAGUUUGAUGUCUGAGAAGAUUGAUGAUUUGGUGGUUGGUUCAUCAGACGAAGACUCUGGUGAAGGGAUAUGGAAUAGAAAGAACAAGGAUGGGAAGAAUAUGCAGAAAAUGGGUCGUCAUUCUUCUCAUGGGGCAGGUUCUGGUUUGGAAUUUCACUCACGAGGACGAUCAGUGGGUGUGGAACCAGAAAAGUAUGGAAAGCAAAACCCGAAGGGCAUGCUUAGGUUGGCUGGAUUAAAGGCAUCUACAGCCAAGGAUCCAGCUGGUUACAUGUCUUCUGGGUACCAUGGUUUGGAUAAGAAUCCUGGGCUAAACGGUUCGACAAGUGUGUUUCCUCUGCAAAAGUCUGCGGCUUAUGAUUCGGGGUUGAUGAUGAGGAUGAGGGAUCAUAUGAGGAAUGGUGAUGCUGCUGAGGAUAUGACAUAUGAACUUGGUGUCCCGCAAGAUCGAAAUGCAUUGCGUGGCAAAAUGACGGAUAAAUCUGGUAUUAUGAGAAUGGGAAAGAGGCAUGAUCUUCUUAGAGGCGAUGAAAUGGAUAAUGACAAUAUAAUGAGUCUAUCUUUGUCCUCAAAGGCCGAUCUGCAUACUUACUCUCGGAAUGCAAACCAAUCCUCAGAUAUGAAAAUGUUCACAAAGUCAUUAUCUACCAGAGGUUCUUAUGAUUUUUCUAGAAAGGCUAAGCAUACUGAAAAUAGCCAACAAUUUGUUGAUGAUCAAAUCAAGCCUAAACUCAGGGGAUCACAGCUCCCACCUAAAGGAAGUCUUGUUGAUUCAUUAGAUCAUGAUGAAUUUUUUGGCACCAGCAAAACCCCUGGAGAUGAAUCUGCUCUGGAUUCAUCAUUUCAAUAUGAUGACUGGAAUUUGAGGAGCAAGAGGUGGAAGGCAGGGAGGGAGUCUCCUGAUCUCAGUUAUGCUGCUUAUAGAUCUUCUUCACCCCAAGUGAGUGAUAGACAUGCGCUCACUGACUUCAGAAAAAAAUCAUUGCAGGGUAAGGUUAGAGGGGCUUUUGUACAGAAUGGAGGACAAGAUAUGUUGGCUUCAAGAGGCAGGAGGAUGCUUCAUAGAGGUGAAGAAACCGAAUCAGACUCAUCAGAACAGUUGAAUGAUGAUGAGGAUGGUAAUCCAUUGUUGCAGAGCAAAUUUCCUUACUCAGUUAAUGAUGAUUCUCGCAUGACAAUUUUGAAGUCCCGCCUAGAACCCAAGGAAGCAAAGUUUGUGAAGAAAGACUUCAAGGGACAUGGGAAAGCAAAAUCCAAGAAGAUGGGUUAUUUUGGAGAGAAUUCUCUGCCUGGUGCAGAAAAUUUCAUUUCAAAGGAAAAACAGAAAGGUAAAAUGCGCCAAAGUGGCCGUUUGCAUGAUUUUGCCAAUAAACUUUUGGAAGAGAGCUAUCCCUCGAGUUCAGAGAAGCUUAAUGAUGGUGAUGAUGAUUGGAGAGAAAACUACAGGUUGGGCAAGAAUGGUCGAAUAUCACAGGAACCCAUUGAAAGGUUAGACAUGCCUUCUUCAAAUGCUUAUAGUUAUGAGCUAAAGAAGAAAGGGAAGGGAAGAACUGAGUUUGGUCGCUCCAUUCUCAGGUCUAAAUACUUGAAUGAUUAUAUUGGUGAUGAGGAGAAUGACUCACAUGAGGCACGGUUGGUGGUGGAUGAUAAUGGGGUUGGUCAGGGCAGAGUUAAGAAGAAAGGGAAAAAAUAUGGAUACAAGGAUGACCAAUAUGGAAAAUCUGAUGCGCAAUUUCUGGCGUGCAACUCGGUGACAAAGAAGUGGAAAAUGAAGGAUGAUGCAGCAGAUCUGGAUGGAAGAGAAGGGGAUGCCAAUCCUGUGUCUAAUUUUCAAACUGAUGAUUCAACAUCUUUCAAAAGAAAGUCAAAGAGAAAAAUGGAGAUUGAAGCAGCUAGUUCGGAUGUGGAUAUUUCUGAACUGCCCAUUGCAGAUUUGGGAACAGCAGAUACAGAGCUAGAAGCAAAACCGCAGAAAAAACCAUUUACUUUGAUUACGCCUACUGUUCAUACUGGAUUCUCAUUUUCUAUUAUACAUCUUCUUUCUGCCGUCCGUAUGGCAAUGAUUGCCCCUCUUGCAGAAGACAGUUUAGAGGUGGGAAAACCUAGAGAAGAUCAGAAUACAGCACAUGUAGGUACUGCUAAUGGUAUCCCCUCUAAUGAGAAGAUGGCCACCAAUUCUGAGCUUGCUGGCCAAGUGAAUACAUCUCUUACUGUCCAGGAAAUUGUUCACCGUGUCAGAUCUAACCCUGGUGAUCCUUGUAUUCUGGAGAUGCAAGAACCUCUGCAGGAUUUGGUCAGAGGAGUUUUGAAGAUAUUUUCCUCAAAAACAGCGCCAUUAGGAGCGAAGGGUUGGAAGGUGCUAGCAGUGUAUGAAAAAUCCACAAGAUGCUGGUCAUGGACUGGUCCAGUUCCUCAUAAUUCAUCUGAUCAUGAUUCUAUUGAGGAAGUGACAUCUCCUGAAGCUUGGGGCCUCCCUCAUAAGAUGCUUGUUAAGUUGGUUGAUUCCUUUGCCAAUUGGCUGAAAUGUGGUCAGGAAACACUUCAACAAAUAGGAAGUCUUCCUGCACCACCUUUGGAGUUGAUGCAAGUCAACCUUGAUGAGAAAGAGAGAUUUAGAGACCUCAGAGCUCAGAAGAGUCUUAACACUAUUAGCCCCAGUUCUGAGGAAGUCAGGGCUUAUUUCCGCAGGGAGGAAGUUCUUAGGUACUCAAUUCCUGACAGAGCAUUCUCUUAUACUGCAGCUGAUGGUAAAAAAUCUAUUGUUGCACCCUUGAGAAGAUGUGGUGGUAAGCCAACAUCCAAAGCCCGAGACCAUUUUAUGUUGAAACGUGAUAGACCACCGCAUGUUACUAUCCUUUGUCUGGUCAGAGAUGCAGCUGCCAGGUUGCCUGGAAGUAUUGGCACUAGAGCUGAUGUUUGCACAUUAAUUAGAGAUUCUCAAUAUAUUGUUGAAGAUGUCUCUGAUGCUCAGAUUAACCAGGUAGUUAGUGGGGCCUUGGAUCGGUUGCAUUAUGAACGUGACCCUUGUGUGCAAUUUGAUGGGGAAAGGAAGUUGUGGGUUUAUUUACAUAGAGAAAGAGAAGAAGAAGAUUUUGAGGAUGAUGGCACUUCAUCAACAAAAAAAUGGAAGAGGCAGAAAAAAGAUGCUACAGAUCAAUCUGAUCAAGGAGCAGUAACUGUUGCUUAUCAUGGGACUGGGGAGCAAAAUGGAUAUGACCUGUGCUCAGAUCUCAAUGCUGAGCCAUCGGGUAUUGAAGAUGAUAAGGGAGGAGAGCUUGUGUCUGAUGAUGUGAGGCUAAAUGUGGAGGACAAUAUUGAUACCAAUCUUGCAUCUGAACAAGGCAAUGUUGGUCAGGAUAAUUCAAUGGAUUGGGAGACAAUUGGAAUAAACACAAAUCGUGAGAGUAAAUUGCUGUGUCAAGAGAAUUCUGCAAAUGAAGAUUUUGAUGAUGAAUCCUUCGGAAGAGAGAGGUCUGUUGGACUAUCAAGUGCGAGCCUAUUAUGAAGAACUCUUAAGUCAUCAGCCUACCAGCACUGAGGAGCUCAAAUUCCCUUUUUCUACAUGUGCUUGUAAAUAUUUCAGGAUCUGGAGUAUAGUUCCUUUUGUACACCGGAGGACCGUGGAGCUGAACCUUGCACUGUAUUGCUUCACAAUAUUAUUAUUUCAUCUUGUAUAUAUGAUUCAGUUAAGAAUCUUAAGAUCGUGAUACUGCUACAAUAAGCUUGUGACUUCUAGCCGAAGAUAGAAGAGGAGAAAAUUUGAAAUACUCUCAAGUCAAAUAGCCUGGUCAGAUUUUAAGACGAGAUUUAUUAGUCAUUGGUUGAUUGAUAUUGAUAUUGAUAUUGUAUAUGCCCGAGAAGCAUGCCCAAAAGGAGAAAAAAAAAGAAGGAAAAAAAAAAAAAAGUAAGCUGUAAUAUCAACUUGAGUUCAAGUGACAAACUUAAUUUUUUCCAACCUUACAAAAGAAUGCCUCUCUCUCUGUCUCUCCAUGUUCUUGAGUUGCAGAUCUUGUUACUUUACAGAUUGCUGCAACAGUUUGUGCACAACUUCGAGCUGUUGAGCUAUCUUGAGCCCGACCUUAAAUUUGGGUAAGUAUUCUCUCUCCAUCUUUUAUCUCAGAUGUCAAAAUGAAGGUGCUGACUUAUUGAAGCUCCAAUAGUUUUUUUCUUUUAAAAAAAAAAAAAAAAACAGAGAGAACAAAUCUAAUGUACUGGGGAUUGGAAUCUAUUUGUUGUUCUCCUGGAAUAAAAGGCUACGCCAAAACCACACAAGAGAGAAAAAUAGUAUCUGACUACUGACUGCUGACUACAAGAGCAUAAGCUGGGAAAUGCCUGUAGCCAACGGGGCUUGAGUGAGAACCAUGUAUUCUGAUUCUAUUUGAUGACUUCCUUUGCAAGCCAAUUCGUGUAGAAAAUUCUUUUCUUUAAAGCCGUGAUCGAUGUAUUACUGUCCAGUUUUGUAUUAAAUAGUGCCUAAUUUCAUUAAAGGCAUGGCGGUGCUGGUUGUUAUCUGUGUUAGCAAAUAGGCUUGAGCUUGACACUUCUGUGUAAGCAUUCUGUAGCUCUUAUUGUAGCUUAAUAGGGAAUAGGACGCAUAGUAGUCAUUAGGAAUAGUAAAAGUGGAACUUGUGUAUCUUGUGCUCACCGGGGGAAAAAAGUGGAACUUGUAUGCCUUCUCAUGUGCAGGGAAAACAAGAUAUUAUAAGGUCUGGGAAUUCUCAGUAA